rnacentral:misc_RNA from 1 species
GAUGAAGAACGCAGUGAAAUGCGAUACGUAAUGUGAAUUGCAGAAUUCAGUGAAUCAUCGAGUCUUUGAACGCACAUUGCGCCCGCCAGUAUUCUGGCGGGCAUGCCUGUUCGAGCGUCAUUUCAACCCUCAAGCCCUCGGGUUUGGUGUUGGGGAUCGGCGAGCCUUUCUGGCAAGCCGGCCCCGAAAUCUAGUGGCGGUCUCGCUGCAGCCUCCAUUGCGUAGUAGUAAAACCCUCGCAACUGGAACGCGGCGCGGCCAAGCCGUUAAACCCCCAACUUCUGAAUGUUGACCUCGGAUCAGGUAGGAAUACCCGCUGAACUUAAGCAUAUCAAUAAGCGGAGGA